AGCUCUUGCCUGAUUCAGUCUGAUCAUGCACACAGUCCCUCUUCUCUGUCUGGCUGCUCUAAGCACCUCAGCACUAAUAACUUGUCAUCCUAUACAAAAGGAAACAAUCCGAACAGAUUUAACAAGAGAAAAUCUGAGCAAUAUGGAGACCAUGAUCAGUACAUACGGAUAUUUCCUGAUGAUGACAUUUAGUAAAAGAAUGAGGAAAGCCAUUUCUCGAGAGUCCAAAGGAGCUGCUUUACUGAAGAAAAGAAGCAAGGACUGCUUCUUACUACUUCAUAUUAAAACAAAUAAUAUAAUGUGCUUGGAUAGAACUAAAAACACAUAUAUUUCAGUUCAUGGCAUUAAUAAGGACUGCUUUAAAACAAUUGACGGAAAGAAUUCCCAUCAUGCUUUGUGCCCAUGGAGGAGUGAUGCAAUGAUCAAGCUUGUUGGAGGUAAAAGUCACACCGAGGCUUAUAGUGCACAAUUACAUCAUUCUCUGCAGUCAAACAACCAUAAAACACAUCGCAGACAGAGAAGAAGCCAGUAUAUUGACCCAUCUGAUCCCUUGGGAUCUGAGAAUCCGAGGUCAAGGACUGCUAAUCAUCGAAGACCAAAUCGAGAGCAUGAGCACGAGUGCAGCAGUAAUGUUUCUAAAGAAACCAUCACUUCCUAUGACGACCCUUUACACGUACUGCUCUCCAAGAGCCCUGUCAGUCCCAAUUUACAAAAACAGAAGAAACACAAGCAAGGUGCACCAUCUGAUCCAUUCUGAAUUACUGACCUAAAAAUAAAAGUUCAUUAACAAUUUUAUAAGCCUUGCACUAAAGAAAACCAUCUGUGAACCACCCAGGAGAACUUUUUUUUUUUUUGGAUGAUUCCUAAAACCAAUACACUGACCUAAAGAACUUACAACAUCACGUUAAGAAACCAAAUGGUUUCGAGGAAACAUAUCACCAAGAACUGUAUAUGAUGCAAUCUAGGGCCUCAGGACCUCAGUUGGUGUUGAGGCUAGUUUAGGUCACUGUUUGUCAGUCCUUUCACCUUUUCAAGUCAGUUAAAAUUUAAACUACCUUGCAAUGCUGCGGCAAUGACAUUGUUUUCAUAAGAACUGUGCAAGAAUCUUUCCAAUCGACUGAUAUUGUUGAAGGAUACAAUUUGGGUGCAUGAGUUUGCAGAAAUAAAUGAAUUCAAACAUUCUCUCAACAAACACCUUAAAAUGAGGUCAGAGUAGCUGAAUAUCUUCAAUAUUGACUGUUCUGUGCUGUUGAAGUACAUGUCAGGACACUCUGCAACUAUUAUGUAAAUAUGA